AGUGCAGAAGAGGAGAGUGGAAUUCCACGUGUAGCGGUGAAAUGCGUAGAGAUGUGGAGGAACACCAGUGGCGAAGGCGACUCUCUGGUCUGUAACUGACGCUGAGGAGCGAAAGCGUGGGGAGCGAACAGGAUUAGAUACCCUGGUAGUCCACGCCGUAAACGAUGAGUGCUAAGUGUUAGGGGGUUUCCGCCCCUUAGUGCUGCAGCUAACGCAUUAAGCACUCCGCCUGGGGAGUACGGUCGCAAGACUGAAACUCAAAGGAAUUGACGGGGGCCCGCACAAGCGGUGGAGCAUGUGGUUUAAUUCGAAGCAACGCGAAGAACCUUACCAGGUCUUGACAUCCUCUGACAAUCCUAGAGAUAGGACGUCCCCUUCGGGGGCAGAGUGACAGGUGGUGCAUGGUUGUCGUCAGCUCGUGUCGUGAGAUGUUGGGUUAAGUCCCGCAACGAGCGCAACCCUUGAUCUUAGUUGCCAGCAUUCAGUUGGGCACUCUAAGGUGACUGCCGGUGACAAACCGGAGGAAGGUGGGGAUGACGUCAAAUCAUCAUGCCCCUUAUGACCUGGGCUACACACGU
rnacentral:rRNA from 1 species